UACGUAGGGGGCUAGCGUUGUCCGGAAUCAUUGGGCGUAAAGCGCGCGUAGGCGGCCCGGUAAGUCCGCUGUAAAAGUCAAAGGCUCAACCUUUGAAUGUCAGUGGAUACUGCCGGGCUAGAGUCCGGAAGAGGCGAGUGGAACUCCUGGUGUAGCGGUGGAAUGCGCAGAUAUCAGGAAGAACACCGACGGCGAAGGCAGCUCGCUGGGACGAUACUGACGCUGAGGCGCGAAAGCUAGGGGAGCAAACAGG
rnacentral:rRNA from 1 species